GUUCAGUUGUCGAAGACAUAUAUUCAAAUUAUACAAACCCUACCUAUAUAUGUAUACGUAUGCUAAUUAUAAUAUUCAAUCAUGCAUGCAAGUAUAAUAGUUCAUUUACUACAAUCCUCCUCUUUCCAGUUCUUUAAAUAUUGCUAAAUCAAUUGGUUUUCCUUAUUUCUAAUUGCUACAAAUGUUAAAGUCUGUACUUAUAUUACCUACUUUAUAAUUUACGAUAUAAUAUUGUUCAGUCAUUAUGACCCAUUUCCACUGUUUGACCCUAUAAAAUCUUUACAAACUGUGUAUAUGACCUCCCCCCCCCCCUGCCCCUCAAACAAGAAAAUUCUGCUUGGGCAGCUAUGCGGAUUAAACCAGCAUUAUUUCACGUAACUAUUUUUUAUAGAACCGUACAGUAUACAAAAUGUGGCACCAUGACAUAUAGCCUGGCAUUUAGCAGUCAAGAUAAAAUGCUGUUCUUCAAUAAAACCACCCUCUCUUCAAUUGGAUCUUUGAAAUGGUAUUUCCUGUGUUGUGGAGGUACCUGGAGAAAAAUUUGUCUAAAUAAUUGUAAAAAUAGUCUAAAUAAUUGUAAAUAACUUUGUAAUAAGGAAAUUCAAAAAUAGUAAGCAGGAAAUAUGUUAGCUGCGCAAAAGGUUUUGCUCAUUUCCAACCUCCUCCCCAAUUUUUCAUUAAAUUCGAACAAACCUAAACACCCCCUAGCCUGCUACCG